rnacentral:lncRNA from 1 species
UUUGGAAGCAAUGGGUUUGCCUUUCUCUAUCUGCAGAAUAAUGUUCAUGAGGCAUUCCAGCAGAUGCAACAGAUGGGCUUUCUUGCUUUUGCUUGCACUUCUGGGGUCAAAGCUUAGAACGAUAUGA